rnacentral:rRNA from 1 species
UAUCUCUGUAGAGUCUGCAUAUCAAUAAGCGGAGGAAAAGAAACUAACAAGGAUUCCCCUUAGUAACGGCGAGCUGAAGCGGGAAGAGCUCAAAUUUGAAAUCUUCAAGGUUCUGACCUUGACGAAUUGUAGUUUAAAGAAGUGUUUUCGGUUAGAGGAGUAGCUAAAAGUUCCUUUGGAAUAGGACAUCAUAGAGGGUGAGAAUCCCGUAUUUGACUAUUCUUUCUAGCUUUGUGAUACACUUUCAAAGAGUCGGAUUGUUUGGGAAUGCAGUCCAAAAUGGGUGGUAAAUUUCAUCUAAAGCUAAAUAUUGGCGAGAGACCGAUAGCGAACAAGUACCGUGAGGGAAAGAUGAAAAGAACUUUGAAAAGAGAGUUAAACAGUACGUGAAAUUGUCAAAAGGGAAGCGUUUGACACCAGUGUUGUUUUUCCGAAAAUCAAUUAAAAAUUGAUUCAUGCCAGGUUGUAUUGACCUUAUCAGCUUGCAAUUUGGUUUUGGGUCUCUUUUUGAUGCACUUUUCGGUUAACAAGUCAACAUCAAUUUCCUUUGCUGUAAAAAGGUAAGAGGAAGGUGGCUUCAAUUUCGGUUGAAGUGUUUAUAGCCUUUUAUCUCUGCAGUCGGGGAGAUUGAGGUCUGCAGCGUAGAUCCUUCGGGGCUAGAUACAUUUAUGCUAAGUUAUAGCUUUUCAUAGACAACUUGUUGACUAUGUUUAGUCAUGUAGCUUACUCGUAAGUGCUAUUUUACCUACGCUUAGGAUGUUGAAGACUCUACAGAGAU